rnacentral:miRNA from 1 species
GCUGACACAUCCUGGCCAAUCUCCAGCAGACCCUCCCUCCCAGACCCUCCCACCUCCUGGACAGCAUCCAUGUUGCCUUCAACAUGGAUGCUGUCCAGGAGGUGGGAGGGUCUGGGAGGGAGGGUCUGCUGGAGAUUGGCCGGGAUGUGUCAG